rnacentral:rRNA from 1 species
CCUACGGGAGGCAGCAGUGGGGAAUAUUGGGCAAUGGGCGCAAGCCUGACCCAGCGACGCCGCGUGAGGGAAGAAGGCCCUUGGGUCGUAAACCUCUGUUGUAUGGGAAGAAGGACGUGACGGUACCAUACGAGGAAGUCCCGGCUAACUACGUGCCAGCAGCCGCGGUAAUACGUAGGGGACGAGCGUUGUCCGGAAUUACUGGGCGUAAAGGGCGCGCAGGCGGAUAUUUAAGUCAGCUGUUAAAGUCAUGGGCUCAACUCAUGGAUGCGGUUGAAACUGGAUAUCUCGAGUGCUGGAGAGGUAGGCGGAAUUCCCGGUGUAGCGGUGAAAUGCGUAGAUAUCGGGAAGAACACCAGUGGCGAAGGCGGCUUACUGGCCAGCAACUGACGCUGAGGCGCGAAAGCCAGGGGAGCGAACGGGAUUAGAUACCCGAGUA